CGCCGCGUGGAGGAUGACGGCCCUUCGGGUUGUAAACUCCUUUUCUGUGGGAAGAGUCUAGAAGGACCGGUACCACAAGGAAAUAAGUCCGUCGGACUAACUACGUGC
rnacentral:rRNA from 1 species